CUAAGGGUGCAGGCCUCUUGGGGAUAUGUGUGUGUGCAUGUGUCUACACUGGCCUGCCUCUCUGCUGACCAAGUUUCUACUGCUUAACCUUGUCCAGUGGAGCAUGCAGCGGGAACUCCAAGGCAAUACUGCCUGAGCUGGUCUAAAGCUUUUAAACUCAUUUUUAGCCAUUGGAUGUUUGUCAGGCCUCACUGCAACAACCUGCCUGAGACCGACUGGCUAGAGCCUUCAGAUCCUACGACCCUCCCUGCCCAGGCAGCUAACUCACCACCUGUCAUCCACCUCAUGGCAAGGGCAGAAAUGUAGCCUUGCCUCUUGAAGCCAGCACCUCUGCCAGACCCCACUGUAAUGUUCCACAAACACCUUCAGAAGUCAGGGCAACUGGUGGAGCAUGGAGUGGAAUUUCUUUUCUGUUCAUAGUUACUUGUGGGAACCACUCUCAGGGCUGCAGCUCACAGCUGGGUCACUGGGCACUGCACAACUCAAAGGGCUCGUGUGGUGAAAGUGGGGCCCUUGGAAUCGGCAGUGUGGGAGCCCUGCGUCCUGU
rnacentral:lncRNA from 1 species